rnacentral:rRNA from 1 species
UUGAACUGAAGAGUUUGAUCAUGGCUCAGAUUGAACGCUGGCGGCAGGCCUAACACAUGCAAGUCGAGCGGAUGAAGGGAGCUUGCUCCUGGAUUCAGCGGCGGACGGGUGAGUAAUGCCUAGGAAUCUGCCUGGUAGUGGGGGAUAACGUCCG